GAUGAAGAACGCAGCGAAAUGCGAUAAGUAGUGUGAAUUGCAGAAUUCAGUGAAUCAUCGAAUCUUUGAACGCACAUUGCGCCCCUUGGUAUCCCGAGGGGCAUGCCUGUUCGAGCGUCAUUUGUACCUUCAAGCUCUGCUUGGUGUUGGGUGUUUGUCUCGCCUCUGCGUGUAGACUCGCCUCAAAACAAUUGGCAGCCGGCGUAUUGAUUUCGGAGCGCAGUACAUCUCGCGCUUUGCACUCAUAACGACGACGUCCAAAAGUACAUUUUUACACUCUUGACCUCGGAUCAGGUAGGGAUACCCGCUGAACUUAAGCAUAUCAUAAGCGGAGGA
rnacentral:misc_RNA from 1 species